rnacentral:rRNA from 1 species
GAAGGUAGCGUAAUCAUUUGUCUUUUAAAUAGAGACCUGUAUGAAUGGCAUAACGAGGGUUUAACUGUCUCCCUCCCCUAGUCAAUGAAAUUGAUCUGCCCGUGCAGAAGCGGACAUAAACACAUAAGACGAGAAGACCCUAUGGAGCUUUAGACAAAAGAUCAAACAUGUAAAGAAACCUAGAUAACUAAAAGGAACACAAAGGCCACAAAACCAAACGUAAUAUGAUCCAAAUGUCUUCGGUUGGGGCGACCACGGGGGAAAGAAAAGCCCCCACGAGGAACUAGGGGCAAUCCAUUAAGUCAAGAGAUACACCUCUAAGCAACAGAAAAUCUGACCAAAAAUGACCCAGGACACUAAUCCUGAUCAACGAACCAAGUUACCCUAGGGAUAACAGCGCAAUCCUUUCCCAGAGUCCAUAUCGACGAAAGGGUUUACGACCUCGAUGUUGGAUCAGGACAUCCUAAUGGUGCAGCCGCUAUUAAGGGUUCGUUUGUUCAACGAUUAA